GAUGAACGCUGGCGGCGUGCUUAACACAUGCAAGUCGAGCGAAGCACUCUGCUUUGAUUCUUUCGGGAUGAAGAGCAUUGUGACUGAGCGGCGGACGGGUGAGUAACGCGUGGGUAACCUGCCUCAUACAGGGGGAUAACAGUUAGAAAUGGCUGCUAAUACCGCAUAAGACCACAGCACCGCAUGGUGCAGGGGUAAAAACUCCGGUGGUAUGAGAUGGACCCGCGUCUGAUUAGCUAGUUGGUGGGGUAACGGCCUACCAAGGCGACGAUCAGUAGCCGACCUGAGAGGGUGACCGGCCACAUUGGGACUGAGACACGGCCCAAACUCCUACGGGAGGCAGCAGUGGGGAAUAUUGCACAAUGGGGGAAACCCUGAUGCAGCGACGCCGCGUGAGCGAAGAAGUAUUUCGGUAUGUAAAGCUCUAUCAGCAGGGAAGAAAAUGACGGU
rnacentral:rRNA from 1 species